rnacentral:rRNA from 1 species
UACGUAGGGUGCAAGCGUUGUUCGGAAUUAUUGGGCGUAAAGAGCUCGUAGGCGGUUUGUCGCGUCUGCUGUGAAAACUCGGGGCUUAACCCCGGGCCUGCAGUGGGUACGGGCAGACUAGAGUGCGGUAGGGGAGACUGGAAUUCCUGGUGUAGCGGUGAAAUGCGCAGAUAUCAGGAGGAACACCGGUGGCGAAGGCGGGUCUCUGGGCCGUAACUGACGCUGAGGAGCGAAAGCAUGGGGAGCGAACAGG